rnacentral:rRNA from 1 species
GACGAACGCUGGCGGCGUGCUUAACACAUGCAAGUCGAACGGAAAGGCCCUGCUUUUGUGGGGUGCUCGAGUGGCGAACGGGUGAGUAACACGUGAGUAACCUGCCCUUGACUUUGGGAUAACUUCAGGAAACUGGGGCUAAUACCGGAUAGGAGCUCCUGCUGCAUGGUGGGGGUUGGAAAGUUUCGGCGGUUGGGGAUGGACUCGCGGCUUAUCAGCUUGUUGGUGGGGUAGUGGCUUACCAAGGCUUUGACGGGUAGCCGGCCUGAGAGGGUGACCGGGCUCCAGUGGACUGAGGGAGGGCCCAGAAUGCUACCGGACGCAACAGGCGGGAAAUUUGCGGAAUAGGGCGGAGCCAGAGUGAACAACCGCCGGAUCGGGAAGACCGGCUUUCGGGUGAGAACCCAUUUCUCCGUAUACCAAGACGUAGGGACGGUAAUUGGUAAAAAAGCCACGGCUAACUACGUG